CAGCAGCCGCGGUAAUACGUAGGUGGCAAGCGUUGUCCGGAAUUAUUGGGCGUAAAGGGCGCGUAGGCGGACUGAUAAGUCAGGGGUGAAAUCCCAAGGCUCAACCUUGGAACUGCCUUUGAUACUGUUUGUCUUGAGUUCGAGAGAGGUAAGUGGAACUGCGAGUGUAGAGGUGAGAUUCGUAGAUAUUCGCAAGAACACCAGUGGCGAAGGCGGCUUACUGGCUCGAUACUGACGCUGAGGCGCGAAAGCGUGGGGAGCAAACAGGAUUAGAGACCCGGGUAGUCCCUGUCUCUUAUAC
rnacentral:rRNA from 1 species